GGAUAUGAGGGCGAUCUGGCUGCGACAUAUGUCGCCCCAUUGAUCGCCAGGGUUGAUUCGGCUGAUCUGGCUGGCUAGGCUGGUGCCCCCUUCCUCCCUCACCGUUCCAUGUGUGUCUCUCCUGAAGCUGGGUGCUCCGUCGAAGAGGAUGGCCUUCCCUGAAUAGAGAUGAACCGGUCUUCAGUCGAGGGUACAAGUAGCUGCGCUCCCAUGCUAGAACCUCCAAACAGGCUCUCAAAAUAAUAUUAAAGGGCCAAGGAUGUUGAUCAUAUGGGAAGCAUAUACCUCACCAGUUCUUGG
rnacentral:snRNA from 1 species